GACGAACCGUGCGACCGUUAUUCGGAAUCACUGGGCUUAAAGGGCGCGUAGGCGGGCUCGCAGGUCAGGGGUGAAAGCCCACGGCUCAACCGUGGAAGUGCCUUUGAUACCGUGAGUCUCGAGGGAGGUAGGGGCGUGCGGAACUUCCGGUGGAGCGGUGAAAUGCGUAGAUAUCGGAAGGAACAGCGGUGGCGAAAGCGGCGCGCUGGACCUCUUCUGACGCUGAGGCGCGAAAGCCAGGGGAGCAAACGGG
rnacentral:rRNA from 1 species